rnacentral:rRNA from 1 species
AGAGCACUCCUACGGGAGGCAGCAGUGAGGAAUAUUGGUCAAUGGAGGGAACUCUGAACCAGCCAUCCCCGCGUGUAGGAAGACGGCCUUAUGGGUUGUAAACUACUUUUAUACAGGAAGAAACGUACCCUCGUGAGGGUGCCUGACGGUACUGUAGGAAUAAGCACCGGCUAACUCCGUGCCAGCAGCCGCGGUAAUAGAGGNGGGUUAGCGUUGUUCGGAAUUACUGGCGUAAAGCGCACGUAGGCGGACUAUUAAGUUAGAGGUGAAAUCCCAGGGCUCAACCCUGGAACUGCCCUUUAAUACUGGUAGUCUUGAGUUCGAGAGAGGUGAGUGGAAUUCCGAGUGUAGAGGUGAAAUUCGUAGAUAUUCGGAGGAACACCAGUGGCGAAGGCGGCUCACUGGCUCGAUACUGACGCUGAGGUGCGAAAGUGUGGGAGCAAACAGGAUUAGAUACCCUGGUAG